CCCUUAGAUGUUCUGGGCAGCACGCGCGCUACACUGAAGGAAUCAGCGUGUGUUCUCCCUGAUCCGAAAGGACCGGGUAACCCGUUGAACCUCCUUCGUGCUAGGGAUUGGGGAUUGCAAUUAUUCCCCAUGAACGAGGAAUUCCCAGUAAGCGCGAGUCAUAAGCUCGCGUUGAUUACGUCCCUGCCCUUUGUACACACCGCCCGUCGCUACUACCGAUUGGAUGGUUUAGUGAGAUCCUCGGAUUGGACCCGGCGCGGAGGGCAACUUCUGUGCCGGUGUUCCGAAAAGACGAUCAAACUUGAUCAUCUAGAGGAAGUAAAAGUCGUAACA
rnacentral:rRNA from 1 species